rnacentral:sRNA from 1 species
UGAUUCAAGUGCUGCCCCUCCUCCCGUAU